UGUAGCCAUAUCAUAUGGAAACACUAAUUCUUCUACAAUCAUUGAAGUUAAGCAACAUUGAGCCUGGUCAGUACCUAGAUGGGUAACCACUUGGGAAUACCAGGUGCUGUGAG